CUGCUGCGCAGGAUGAACCUAUUGUUGCUAACAAAGUAAUGGAUGAUACAUCUAGGCCUGACAAUGGCUCAGAAGGUGAUAGCAAAGAAUCUACUGACAAGUUAAAGAUCAAAACUCUGAGGAUUGGAAUCAACUCGAAGCAGAAAACCCCAGAGACUGCAAGUCCAUCCAGUGAUGAAAAUGGUGAAGGUGGUAAUGAAUUUUGUGUCACAGCCAGACCUAGAGAGGAACACUCUUAAACAAUCUAGUGAAAAAUGAGCAACGAAGUGAAGUGGUAUCUUUGGACUCAGCUGAAACUAGUUAACGGAAACUAAUUAAAGUGUGUACAGAAAGAAAGGAGCGAGAGAUGAGAGGCUAGGAAGCCUUGUAAGUUUUGGUUUGGAGCAGGGAUAGUGUCAG
rnacentral:misc_RNA from 1 species